rnacentral:rRNA from 1 species
GAUCCUGGCUCAGAUUGAACGCUGGCGGCAGGCCUAACACAUGCAAGUCGAGCGGAUGAAGAGAGCUUGCUCUCUGAUUCAGCGGCGGACGGGUGAGUAAUGCCUAGGAAUCUGCCUGAUAGUGGGGACAACGUUUCGAAAGGAACGCUAAUACCGCAUACGUCCUACGGGAGAAAGCAGGGGACCUUCGGGCCUUGCGCUAUUCAGAUGAGCCUAGGUCGGNUUAG